ensembl:miRNA MIR10A microRNA 10a
UCUGUCUUCUGUAUAUACCCUGUAGAUCCGAAUUUGUGUAAGGAAUUUUGUGGUCACAAAUUCGUAUCUAGGGGAAUAUGUAGUUGACAUAAACACUCCGCUCA